CAAUAGCGUAUAUUAAAGUUGUUGCAGUUAAAAAGCUCGUAGUUGGAUUUCUGGUAGGAGCGACCGUGCCGAACUUGAUUGUUCGAGUAUUGUGUUGUCUUCAGCCAUCCUCGUGGAGACCUUUUCUAACAUUAACUUGUUGGGAUUGGGACCCGCGUCGUUUACUGUGAAAAAAUUAGAGUGUUUAAAGCAGGCAUUAGCUUGAAUACAUUAGCAUGGAAUAAUAAGAUAGGACUUUGGUACUAUUUUGUUGGUUUGCAUACCAAAUUAAUGAUCAACAGGAACAGUUUGAGGAUAUUCGUAUGAACAUGUCAGAGGUGAAAUUCUUGGAUUUUGAUCAGACGAACUACUGCGAAAGCAUUUAUCAAGGAUGUUUUCAUUAA
rnacentral:rRNA from 1 species